UGGAGAGUUUGAUCCUGGCUCAGGAUGAACGCUGGCGGCGUGCCUAACACAUGCAAGUCGUGCGGUAAGGCCCUUCGGGGUACACGAGCGGCGGACGGCUGAGUAACGCGUGGGAACGUGCCCCAAAGUGAGGGAUAAGCACCAGAAAUGGUGUCUAAUACCGCAUAUGGUCUUCGGAUUAAAGCUUCGGCGCUUUGGGAGCGGCCUGCGUACGAUUAGAUUGUUGGUGAGGUAAAGGCUCACCAAGUCGACGAUCGUUAACUGGUCUGAGAGGAUGAUCAGUCAGACUGGAACUGAGACACGGUCCAGACUCCUACGGGAGGCAGCAGUGAGGAAUCUUCCACAAUGGGGGCAACCCUGAUGGAGCAACGCCGCGUGAAGGAUGAAGGCCCUCGGGUUGUAAACUUCUUUUAUGAGCGAAGAAUAUGACGGUAACUCAUGAAUAAGGGUCGGCUAACUACGUGCCAGCAGCCGCGGUCAUACGUAGGACCCAAGCGUUAUCCGGAGUGACUGGGCGUAAAGAGUUGCGUAGGCGGUUAGUAAAGCGAAUAGUGAAAGAUGAUGGCUCAACCAUCAGAACAUUGUUCGAACUCACUAACUCGAGAAUGGUAGAGGUAGCUGGAAUUUCCUGUGUAGGAGUGAAAUCCGUAGAUAUAGGAAGGAACACCAAUGGCGUAGGCAGGCUACUGGACCAUUUCUGACGCUGAGGCACGAAAGCGUGGGGAGCGAACCGGAUUAGAUACCCGGGUAGUCCACGCCGUAAACGAUGGAUGCUAGCUGUGGG
rnacentral:rRNA from 1 species